CAGACCUUCAAUCCAGCCUCCAUGUUCGUUGGCGUCUUAUGAAGAUCCCUCGCAAAUACUCAUGAACAUAAUCGACCCUCCAUCCUCACCGGUGUCCUCUCUGACAAAUUCAGAGGAAAGCACAGAGAACACUUUGGAAGACGCCAGCACAUCGGCCUCAAGCUCUGCCUCACCAGCUGGAAGAGGAAGCUGGAAGCUUCAGGCAUCAGGUCCACUUUCCCCCCGAUCCCCCCAAAAAAAAGAAACUCUCUAUGCAGGACUUCCUUCAAGCUGAGGCCGCCAAAGAAGACAGAAGAUGUCAAAAGAAUGAAGAACACAUGGACAGGUUCCUGAACCUUUUAGAGAAAAUGGUGGACCAGACACCUCAUCAGCAGUAGCAGCACAUACACUGCAAUUUUUUUUUUUGUACAUAUUUCUGUGCAAAUUUUUUUAUAUGGAACAGCACCUUUCUUUGUUCU